UCCAGGCUGUUAGCUCCGCUCCGAGCGCCUCAGGAGGCGGCUGGGCUUGGCGUCCUGCUCUGGCUGGUCCGGUUCAAAGAGACCACAGGCAAGCUAUUUGGUUCCAAGAAACCAAUAACAACAAGUGUUUUGUUUUAUUUUGUUUUGUUUAUCCUUGCCACGUUUGGGAAGAGACACCCUUGACCUGAAUUGUAGGAGUGGAAAGAGGAAUUGGGAGGCCUGAGGCCUGGAUGCCGGGUCGCGAGCUCAGCCACUGACCACAGGAGACCUUCUUAACAAACUUCCUCCUCUCUGAUUUCUGCUUCAGAGUCUACUUCUCAAAGAAACCAUCCUGGGACAGUUGGCAAAUGGUUCAGAAGGGACUACAAAGAUGAUUACAAGAUGGACCUCCCCCCCAACCCCAAUGUGCAUUCAUAUGUUGAAGCUGAUGACACAUCACUCACCGAGAGAAUCUGACAGAAGGUCCUCAUACCAGGGACUCCUGGGGAAAUCAGUUUGUGCAAACAGAUAUAUACUGAGGAGUGGGAUUGCUGGAUCAUAUGGUUCUUUACAUCUCUAAGUACAUGACUGGGAAGGAGAAGCAAGAUGGCAGAGUAAAAAGAUGCUUGUAGCUCACCCUCUCCCACAUAUGCACCAAAACUCACAUCUACAGACCCACUCAGCCACCCAGAGCACCUGCU